UUCAUGCAUUACUACUGUGCCAGCUCUUUGUGGCUAUGGGAAAUCCCAAGCGUCCUUCAGCUUUAGCUAGAAAAUUCCGGAGUUGAACUUCUUACGCAUCGGAUGCUUCUAUCUGCACGACUGGGUACUUAGUAUAAAUUCGAAGCUCCAUCCACUAUGAGCAUCAAACACCAUCCGAAUGAAGAGCAAACAAGUAGAACUGAAGAUAAUAGAAAAAGCCAAACAGACUUGUUUUAUCAUGAACCCUAAUAAGGUCAUUCUUAUUCUUCUCGUGUUGAUUGUCGCUGACGUAUUGACGGUCGCAGCGCAAAACGAAAACGAUCAGAUUUGGGACUACCCGGAAACUGAGCCCGGCAUCGUCGUUAACUAUCGUCUAGUUCGAUUGAGUCGAGCUGCUGAGCCUGCCAUGAUCGGUUCCAGAUUCUCCCGUUGGCUUUUUGGUUAACUCGUCGUCUUGUUUUUGAAUUUUGAAUCAACCGAAUAUUUAUUGUUUGACGCCACCAUUUUCAUACGUAUUGACUUAUUGAGCACCAGUUAGAAAUCGCAUAGCCACAACCAUUAGAACAUCCUACCGGUACAAAAAACCAGCAGAAGAAAAAGCAUCGACAUUACUAUUGAAUACCUUUUCCUGCGCAGGCAACACUCAAGUCUGAGUAGGCCUAGUAAUACAAAAAAUACCUUUUCCUCUUAUGGCGUACCUGUUUCCCAUUCAAAUCGAAUGCUAUUCUUAAUAAUAUUGACCAAUAAAAUCAAAUCCGUUCGAAA